AAUUUGGCUGGACUGCAAUCACACCCCAAGUCUGUCUUUCCUCAUUGUGCUCUCAAGGAUGAUUAUCUUCCAGAAACUUCAGCAGGACUGAGCGUAUACUCAAGGAUGAGCAUACAUUUAAGUGCUAUUCCAAAGAGUGACGCUGCCUUGAAUCAGGGCAAGAGUGUUCUGGGGAAGGAUGUCUGCUUCUGCUCUGCCACAUCCAUUUGAUCUGCAGUUUUCUUUGUCCCUUUAUUGUGGAAGACCUUCUUUUCAGCAACUACCCUCCAGUGGUAACUGCUCUAUGGCACACCUGAUGUGACAACUACAGGUCAUGGCAAGAUUUAUUGCCAGCUGAUGAUAGGAUGCUUCUUCCACAUACAAACAGCUUGGAGUAAAAUUCCUCAGCCCAGCACAAUGUCUCAGGAUGAAUUUUGUGGAAUCUUUCAGCUGAGAUGCAGUAGGGAUUGUGAGGAAAAUCUCCAUGUUGAGGGGACUAAUGCUGGAUCAGAACAAGUUGUGUCGUAAUACGCUUGGCGAUGCCUUGACAGUUUUGCAGGGCUAUUUAUAAGGUAUGUACAGACUUCAAAGACCAAACAUGGUCUGAGGGUGGGAAUUUGUAUGAUGUAUCAGAGGGUUUAGCUACAGAUAGGGAUUGUGGUUGCCUCUUGGUUGACCCCUUCCAUACAUUGAAGAUAAGGGAGAGGAUCCUACUUACACCACUACUCUUGGUCU